rnacentral:rRNA from 1 species
CCUACGGGAGGCAGCAGUGGGGAAUAUUGCACAAUGGGGGAAACCCUGAUGCAGCGACGCCGCGUGAGUGAAGAAGUAUUUCGGUAUGUAAAGCUCUAUCAGCAGGGAGGAGAAUGACGGUACCUGAGUAAGAAGCCCCGGCUAACUACGGGCCAGCAGCCGCGGUAAUACGUAGGGGGCAAUCGUUAUCCGGAUUUACUGGGUGUAAAGGGAGCGUAGACGGCGAAGAAAGUCUGAAGUGAAAGCCCGCGGCUCAACCGCGGAACUGCUUUGGAAACUUUUUUGCUGGAGUACCGGAGAGGUAAGCGGAAUUCCUAGUGUAGCGGUGAAAUGCGUAGAUAUUAGGAGGAACACCAGUGGCGAAGGCGGCUUACUGGACGGUAACUGACGUUGAGGUUCGAAAGCGUGGGGAGCAAACAGGAUUAGAUACCCCAGUAGUC